CAUGCAAGUCGAACGCUGAAGCCUGGUGCUUGCACCGGGUGGAUGAGUGGCGAACGGGUGAGUAACACGUGAGUAACCUGCCCCUGACUUCGGGAUAAGCCCGGGAAACUGGGUCUAAUACCGGAUACGACCGUCGGACGCAUGUCUGGUGGUGGAAAGUUUUUUCGGUUGGGGAUGGGCUCGCGGCCUAUCAGUUUGUUGGUGAGGUAAUGGCUCACCAAGACGACGACGGGUAGCCGGCCUGAGAGGGCGACCGGCCACACUGGGACUGAGACACGGCCCAGACUCCUACGGGAGGCAGCAGUGGGGAAUAUUGCACAAUGGGGGAAACCCUGAUGCAGCGACGCAGCGUGCGGGAUGACGGCCUUCGGGUUGUAAACCGCUUUCAGCAGGGAAGAAGCGCAAGUGACGGUACCUGCAGAAGAAGUACCGGCUAACUACGUGCCAGCAGCCGCGGUAAUACGUAGGGUACGAGCGUUGUCCGGAAUUAUUGGGCGUAAAGAGCUCGUAGGUGGUUGGUCACGUCUGCUGUGGAAACGCAACGCUUAACGUUGCGCGUGCAGUGGGUACGGGCUGACUAGAGUGCAGUAGGGGAGUCUGGAAUUCCUGGUGUAGCGGUGAAAUGCGCAGAUAUCAGGAGGAACACCGGUGGCGAAGGCGGGACUCUGGGCUGUAACUGACACUGAGGAGCGAAAGCAUGGGGAGCGAACAGGAUUAGAUACCCUGGUAGUCCAUGCCGUAAACGUUGGGCACUAGGUGUGGGGG
rnacentral:rRNA from 1 species